AUGGCGUCCUCCGCGCUGCCGGCACCGUCCGUCGUCGCCGUCGCCGUCGCGGUCGCGUUCGCGGUGGCCACCCUCGCUGCGACGGCGUCGGCGGCCGUCACCUACGACCGCAAGGCACUAGUGGUGAACGGCCGGCGCCGCAUCCUGCUCUCCGGCUCCAUCCACUACCCGAGGAGCGUGCCCGAGAUGUGGCCGGAUCUGAUACAGAAGGCCAAGGGCGGCGGCCUGGACGUGGUGCAGACGUACGUGUUCUGGAACGGCCACGAGCCCUCCCCUGGCCAGUACUAUUUCGAGGGGAGGUAUGAUCUAGUGCGCUUCAUCAAGCUGGUGAAGCAGGCCGGACUCUACGUGCACCUCCGCAUUGGCCCCUACGUCUGCGCCGAGUGGAACUUCGGUGGUUUCCCUGUUUGGCUCAAGUAUGUCCCCGGCAUCAGCUUUAGAACUGAUAAUCAGCCAUUCAAGCUUGAGAUGCAGAAGUUCACCACCAAGAUCGUUGACAUGAUGAAGUCGGAAGGGCUCUUUGAGUGGCAGGGAGGACCAAUAAUCCUCUCCCAGAUCGAGAACGAGUUUGGCCCCUUGGAGUGGGAUCAGGGCGAGCCUUCCAAGGCCUACGCUUCAUGGGCAGCUAACAUGGCGAUUGCGCUCAACACAGGUGUUCCAUGGAUCAUGUGUAAAGAGGACGAUGCCCCAGAUCCAAUUAUUAAUACAUGCAAUGGAUUUUACUGUGACUGGUUCUCUCCGAAUAAACCUCACAAGCCUACCAUGUGGACUGAGGCUUGGACUGCCUGGUAUACAGGCUUUGGUGUUCCGGUUCCACAUAGACCAGUAGAGGAUCUAGCAUAUGGUGUUGCCAAGUUUAUCCAGAAGGGGGGCUCUUUUGUUAACUAUUACAUGUAUCACGGAGGGACAAACUUCGGGCGGACAGCUGGUGGUCCAUUCGUUGCAACUAGCUAUGACUACGAUGCUCCUAUUGAUGAAUACGGCUUAUUGAGAGAACCAAAAUGGGGUCACUUGAAGGAGUUGCAUAGAGCCAUCAAGCUUUGCGAACCAGCCCUGGUUGCAGGAGAUCCCAUUAUAUCUUCCCUUGGGAAGGCUCAGAAGUCAUCCGUUUUUAGGUCAAGCACAGGAGCUUGUGCAGCUUUUCUUGAGAACAAGGAUAAGCUAUCUUAUGCAAGGGUAUCAUUCAGCGGAAUGCAUUAUGACCUGCCUCCUUGGUCUAUCAGUAUUCUUCCGGACUGCAAAACAACAGUCUUCAACACCGCUAGGGUUGGCAGCCAGAUUUCACAAAUGAAAAUGGAAUGGGCUGGAGGACUCACAUGGCAGUCAUAUAAUGAGGAGAUUAAUUCCUACAGUGAGGAGGAAGCAUUUACAGCGGUAGGAUUACUCGAACAAAUAAAUAUGACGAGGGAUAACACAGACUACUUGUGGUAUACAACAUAUGUUGAUGUUGCGAAGAAUGAGCAGUUCCUCACCAGUGGGAAGUCUCCAAAACUCACUGUGAUGUCGGCUGGUCAUGCUUUGCAUGUUUUCGUUAAUGGACAAUUAACAGGAACUGUUUACGGCAGUGUAGAAGACCCAAAACUAACGUAUACUGGGAGUGUGAAACUAUGGGCAGGAAGCAACACUAUUUCGUGCUUAAGUAUAGCAGUUGGUCUCCCGAAUGUUGGAGAACAUUUUGAGACUUGGAAUGCUGGAAUUCUUGGUCCGGUGAUACUUUAUGGCCUGAAUGAGGGAAGAAGAGAUCUCACAUGGCAGAAAUGGACCUAUCAGGUUGGUUUGAAAGGUGAGGCUAUGAGUCUUCAUUCACUUAGUGGAAGCUCAUCGGUAGAAUGGGGAGAACCUGUGCAGAAGCAGCCGCUGACAUGGUACAAGGCUUUUUUCAACGCACCAGAUGGUGACGAGCCAUUAGCCUUGGACAUGAAUAGCAUGGGGAAGGGGCAAAUCUGGAUAAAUGGUCAAGGCAUUGGACGGUAUUGGCCUGGCUACAAGGCCCCCGGAACAUGUGGUUACUGUGAUUACCGUGGUGAAUAUGAUGAGACGAAGUGUCAAACCAACUGCGGCGACUCUUCUCAGAGAUGGUACCAUGUUCCUCGCGCAUGGCUUAAUCCUACUGGGAACCUAUUGGUGAUAUUCGAGGAGAUGGGUGGUGACCCUAGUGAAAUUUCAAUGGUGAAAAGAACUAGGGGAAGUGUCUGUGCUGAUGUGUCUGAAUGGCAGCCGUCGAUGACGAACUGGCGUACCAAAGACUACGAGAAAGCUAAGGUCCACCUCCAGUGUGAUCAUGGGCGGAAAAUAACUGAAGUAAAAUUUGCCAGCUUCGGCACACCACAGGGGUCCUGCGGGAGCUACUCAGAAGGCGGAUGCCAUGCACACAAGUCGUAUGACAUAUUUUGGAAGAACUGCAUUAACCAAGAGCACUGUGCGGUAAGCGUGGUUCCAGAGGUAUUUGGUGGAGAUCCUUGCCCUGGGACAAUGAAAAGGGCUGUUGUGGAGGUUAUGUGUGGCUGA
rnacentral:rRNA from 1 species